rnacentral:tRNA from 1 species
GCCGAGGUAGCUCAGCCGGUAGAGCGACGGACUGAAAAUCCGUGCGUCGGCGGUUCGAUUCCGUCCCUCGGCA